UUUUCACGUUUCCGCCUUAGGGAAAAAGUUUCAUGAUUGACCCCCAGAGCGUAAAUGGUGGAGGAACACACAAAUCAACUCAAAAUAAAGAUCGCAAAAUCCCAACUCAAAUCUAGUAAUCGAUGGACUUUUUUUUCAAUCAUUCGCGUGAAAACUGCAUUUUUUUAGAAAUUGUUUCAAAAAAAGUUCUAAAUUUGCCGCCCCUAAGCAAUAGGUUCCUCUCUACUUUGGGAUUUCGAGAAACUUCAGUGAGUUAUGAAUGCAUCAUGUCGACCGCUCACUGAGAGUGUAAGUAGUGAUUAAACACGAUUGGUUCUUACCUUUAGAUCCAGCGAAUUAUCUUUAGUUGUUACUUCUCAGUGAGCGAUCGCGCUUGUAGAUGCACCUAAUAAAUCAGUCGCAUUUCAGACUUUGAAGUGAUCAGAUAUGAAGAACUUGUAGUGAAAAAAUUAAAAAAUUAAAAAUUUGAAAUUCAUCCCUCAAGGACUGAUUGAUCGAGUCCGUUUGGGGCCUUGAGCGCGUGCGGACGUGUCUGUCCGUUACUAAAAAUAUUUUUGAAACCGUCGAUUGCGUGACAAUCACUAACCUUUGGAGUAUGGUCGUAUUGUCUCCGCAAUUCGAUUGAGAGACGAAUACUAAAUUAACUGAACUGAACUGAACUGAACUGAACUGAACUGAACUGAACUGACUGAUCGCAAGACGAAUGGAGAGACCGACGGAAAAGACAACUAGAAAGAAAACAUCUGCAUUCAAAAACGAUGUCGCAACACAAAUUGUUGAAAAUGCAUUGAAUUUUAAUGAUCUACAUUACGAUAUUUUGAGAAUUAUAUUUAACUAUUUAGAUACCAGAGACUUGAUGAGCGCCGCAAUGGUUUGCAGAUCCUGGUUAGAAGCUGCAAAUGAUGAGAAAAGGAGGAGACCCUAGUUGCUUAUAUUAUAUUGUUACAAACAAAGACAGAUUUACCGAAUAUCUCAACAAUACAGUUAAUAGUUAUAUUAAAAGAAGAAAUCCUUCAAUAGUCUUAUAUUUCUUUUUAUGCCCAGACAAAGAUUUUGUCUCGGCUAAAAGAUUUAAGGAAAUAUUACUUCCACAUUGUAAAGUGAUUAUAUUAUAUAGUCUUCCUCCUAAGGAUGAUGAAAACGUGAACUUUUGGCCACAACUCUCGACCCAUAUAUCAUGUGCAUUGUUGCCAUUUAUGUCGAGUAUAAAAGUAAAAUUAUUUGAUCUAAGGGAAAAACAUGCAUACAGGAAUAUAUAUCGUAUGUUAUUUCAUGAUGAAGCAUCUAGAAACAACAAAACAUGUUUUAUGUUAUUCUUUACCAACAAUAGGUUGUCCGUAGCAAAACGUUGGGCUACAAAUAUAGAAUCAUGGAAUCGUUAUGAAAAUAAAAUAUCACUAUAUGGUGGUAUGUUCUUUGUCAUUGGAACAAAAGAAUCAUUGCCUAAUUAUUUGUAUUUACGAGAGCGUUGCAUCGCUCUCGUAAUCACUGGUCCUAUAAUACAGACAUGGACCACAAUUUUGGACGAAAAAUGCAAUACAAAAGAUCAGAUCGAAGCUAGUUUAAAGUUAUUUAAAAACGAAGUAAUAUUACAAAGAUGGUCUAUAGGAUUUAUGUUUAACAAUAAAGCAUUUCAAGGGAAGACGGAAGAUCGUAUGGACAUAAUAUUUAGAACAUUAUUCCCUACAGUGCCAUUAGCAUGUUGCUUCAGUUCUUACGAAUUUGAAAAAACUGUCGUUGAUUUAGCUAACAAAAGAAGAUUUGAGAGAGAAAAGAUCUCUUUUUAUUCGUAUUCGAACACACGCCCUAAUACUGUUUUUCUAAUAAUUACAUAUGAAUGAUGUUUUGGAAAACAUGAGCGUGAAUUAAUGCUAUAUAAAUAUAUUUUAUCACUUUA